GAUGAACGCUGGCGGCGUGCCUAAUACAUGCAAGUAGAACGCUGAAGGAAGGAGCUUGCUCUUUCCGGAUGAGUUGCGAACGGGUGAGUAACGCGUAGGUAACCUGCCUGGUAGCGGGGGAUAACUAUUGGAAACGAUAGCUAAUACCGCAUAACAGUAGAUGUUGCAUGAUAUCUACUUAAAAGGUGCAAUUGCACCACUACCAGAUGGACCUGCGCUGUAUUAGCUAGUUGGUGAGGUAACGGCUCACCAAGGCGACGAUACAUAGCCGACCUGAGAGGGUGAUCGGCCCCACUGGGACUGAGACACGGCCCAGACUCCUACGGGAGGCAGCAGUAGGGAAUCUUCGGCAAUGGACGGAAGUCUGACCGAGCAACGCCGCGUGAGUGAAGAAGGUUUUCGGAUCGUAAAGCUCUGUUGUAAGAGAAGAACGAGUGUGAGAGUGGAAAGUUCACACUGUGACGGUAUCUUACCAGAAAGGGACGGCUAACUACGUG
rnacentral:rRNA from 1 species